UACGUAGGGGGCUAGCGUUGUCCGGAAUCAUUGGGCGUAAAGAGCGUGUAGGCGGUCCGGUAAGUCCGCUGUGAAAGUCGGGGGCUCAACCUUUGAAUGUCAGUGGAUACUGCCGGGCUAGAGUCCGGAAGAGGCGAGUGGAACUCCUGGUGUAGCGGUGGAAUGCGCAGAUAUCAGGAGGAACACCGGUGGCGAAGGCGGCCAGCUAGACCAGUUCUGACACUGAGGCGCGACAGCGUGGGGAGCAAACAGG
rnacentral:rRNA from 1 species